rnacentral:rRNA from 1 species
UACAGAGGGGGCAAGCGUUAUUCGGAAUUACUGGGCGUAAAGCGUGCGUAGGCGGUUCGUUAAGUCUGUCGUGAAAGCCCCGGGCUCAACCUGGGAAUGGCGAUGGAUACUGGCGGGCUAGAGUGCGGUAGAGGAGAGUGGAAUUCCCGGUGUAGCAGUGAAAUGCGUAGAGAUCGGGAGGAACAUCAGUUGCGAAGGCGGCUCUCUGGACCAGCACUGACACUGAGGCACGAAAGCGUGGGGAGCAAACAGG